rnacentral:rRNA from 1 species
CCUACGGGAGGCAGCAGUGAGGAAUAUUGGUCAAUGGCCGGAAGGCUGAACCAGCCAAGCCGCGUGAAGGACGAAGGUGCCAAGCAUUGUAAACUUCUUUUGUCAAGGGACAAAAUCAGGCUCGAGAGCCUGACCGAGGGUACUUGAAGAAAAAGCAUCGGCUAACUCCGUGCCAGCAGCCGCGGUAAUACGGAGGAUGCGAGCGUUAUCCGGAUUUAUUGGGUUUAAAGGGUGCGUAGGCGGGCUGUUAAGUCAGCGGUAAAAGCCCGGGGCUCAACCCCGGCGAGCCGUUGAAACUGGCUGUCUUGAGUACAGUUGAGGUAGGCGGAAUUCGUGGUGUAGCGGUGAAAUGCUUAGAUAUCACGAAGAACUCCGAUUGCGAAGGCAGCCUACUAAACUGCCACUGACAUUGAUGCUCGAAAGUGUGGGUAUCAAACAGGAUUAGAUACCCUAGUAGUC